GUACAAACUGAAAUGCUUUAUGAGCCUCUUCAGUCCAUCAUUUCACCGCAGCUGAACAACGUUACUCUUCUGUUCAAUUAGAAAGAGAAGAAUCUGGAAAAUGAAUUUUCUUCUUCUUGCUCUAGCCUUUUUGGUUUCUGCUGCUGAGGAACCCUUACAGUUUUCAGGGAAAUUUCAUACUGUCUACCUAGCAAGUAAAUCUGUGGGUGCAAUAGCAGAAAAUAGUCCAGAGCGUAUGCUGAUGCGUGAAGUUCAGUUUUUUAAUGAACACAGUGUCAUGAGCAUGACGUUCUAUGUGAGGAAAAACGGGAUCUGCCAACUACACACAGUUUGGGCUGAUAAACUCCCAUGGAAUUAUUGCACAAAGAAAGCAACUGGGACAAAUAUCACUCAAGAAAUGUGAGAAGAAUAUGUGACCCUAACUAAGUUCGUCAAAAUUCCUACUAAAAAUAUUGAAAAUGUAUAUGAAACAGAUGUAUGCCCUAAAUAGGAGCCUUGAUCUCAGGAGGAGAAAAAUUGUAUUAGUCACUAUACUUGAUUCCUUGGAAUUAAAUUUUGAUGUUGAUUCAAGCCUGUAAACAAAGGUAUUCACAAUUGUUAUUCAGGGAUUUCUGCACACCCUAUUGUUAAGGAAUAUCAUUACUGGCUUUAUGUAAGAUUAAUUGCAUUGAUUUCAACUUUGUAAAAGAGUUUUCAAUAAAGUACCCAAUGCACAUCA